rnacentral:antisense_RNA from 1 species
ACAAAAUGGCGACACGUGGUUAGCAUUCGUCGCCAACGAGAAAUUGGGGUCGGCCCGAAAGCUCUAGAAUGCACCCCCCUUCUUCCCCGGGGCCUUCCACCUCCGCGAGUUUUAUGACUUAAAAAACCCCACAGGCUGGUCUGAAGGUCGGAGGCCUAAUUUUAACGCGUUUUCCUCCCUUUAAUUUGAAACGCGAACGCGAAUGGCUGUAAAAUAGGAAGACAAACAUAAAGAUGAAGUGCUUAAUUCAAGGUCACACAAUGUCGGGGAUGGACCUCCAGAUUUCCUUACUGACCUGCAUUAUCUUGUGGAUACCUGAGUGAAUUCCACACCACCCAUUUUAUAGAUGAAACCACUGAGACAUGGAGCAACUGACUGAGUAGUCACUGCCCCACCCCUGCCUGGAGCCUCACACAUGACUCGUCUCCUCUCAGUGACCACAGGUGAGACGUGGUCUUGUAACACAGUGGUUAAGAAUGUGACUUUGGAGCCAGCCUGCUAGGGGCUGAAUUCUGACUCAGCCAUUUACUAACUGUGUGACCUUAGGGAGGAGGACCUGGUUGAUAGAAGAAUUUAUCUCGUAGUCUUAACAUCCACUGUAAUUCCAAACUUUGAGGACGAUAGAGAUCAGUGGGCUUUGACUGCCCAGCAUGCAGUCUCCAUU